rnacentral:rRNA from 1 species
GAUGAACGCUGGCGGCGUGCCUAAUACAUGCCAGUCGAGCGAACAGAUAAGGAGCUUGCUCCUUUGACGUUAGCGGCGGACGGGUGAGUAACACGUGGGUAACCUACCUAUAAGACUGGGAUAACUUCGGGAAACCGGAGCUAAUACCGGAUAAUAUUUCGAACCGCAUGGUUCGAUAGUGAAAGAUGGUUUUGCUAUCACUUAUAGAUGGACCCGCGCCGUAUUAGCUAGUUGGUAAGGUAACGGCUUACCAAGGCGACGAUACGUAGCCGACCUGAGAGGGUGGUCGGCCACACUGGAAGUGAGACGCGGUCCAGACUCCUACGGGAGGCAGCAGUAGGGAAUCUUCCGCAAUGGGCGAGAGCCUGACGGAGCAACGCCGCGUGAGUGAUGAAGGUCUUCGGAUCGGAAAACUCUGUUAUUAGGGAAGAACAUACGUGUAAGUAACUGUGCACGUCUUGACGGUACCUAAUCAGAAAGCCACGGCUAACUACGUG